AGAGCUGUGGCUCAGUGGAAGAGCAUCUGCUUUGCACACAGAAGGUCCCAGGUUCAAUUCCUGGCAUCUCCA